rnacentral:piRNA from 1 species
UACCAUCAAACAACAUGGAAGCUUCAUGC